rnacentral:lncRNA from 1 species
CCCCCUGAAUCACAGACCCAAGAUAUCGGAUACUGUCCCUCUUGGCGAUGGCCUGAGAACCAAGCAUCACAUCCCUGCCCACCCCACUCGGCUCGUCGCUGAACUUGUCAAUCUCUCCGUCCCCCUGAAUCACAGACCCAAGAUAUCGGAUACUGUCCCUCUUGGCGAUGGCCUGAGAACCAAUCAUCACGUCCAUGCCUACCUCGCUCGGCUCGGCGCCAAACUUGC